rnacentral:rRNA from 1 species
AACGAACGCUGGCGGCAUGCCUAACACAUGCAAGUCGAACGAGACCUUCGGGUCUAGUGGCGCACGGGUGCGUAACGCGUGGGAACCUGCCCUUAGGUUCGGAAUAACUCCCCGAAAGGGGUGCUAAUACCGGAUAAUGUCUUCGGACCAAAGAUUUAUCGCCUUUGGAUGGGCCCGCGUUGGAUUAGCUAGUUGGUAGGGUAAAAGCCUACCAAGGCGACGAUCCAUAGCUGGUCUGAGAGGAUGGUCAGCCACACUGGGACUGAGGCACGGCCCAGACUCCUACGGGAGGCAGCAGUGGGGAAUAUUGGACAAUGGGCGAAAGCCUGAUCCAGCAAUGCCGCGUGAGUGAUGAAGGCCUUAGGGUUGUAAAGCUCUUUUACCCGGGAUGAUAAUGACAGUACCGGGAGAAUAAGCUCCGGCAAACUCCGU